UGGGGAAUAUUGCACAAUGGAGGGAACUCUGAUGCAGCGACGCCGCGUGAACGUAGAAGGCUUUCGAGUCGUAAAGUUCUUUUAUAUGUGAAUAUAAUGACGGUACCAUAAGAAAAAGCUCCGGCUAACUACGUGCCAGCAGCCGCGGUAAUACGUAGGGGGCUAGCGUUGUCCGGAAUCACUGGGCGUAAAGGGUUCGCAGGCGGAAAUGCAAGUCAGGUGUAAAAGGCAGUAGCUUAACUACUGUAAGCAUUUGAAACUGCAUAUCUUGAGAAGAGUAGAGGUAAGUGGAAUUUAUAGUGUAGCGGUGAAAUGAGUAGAUAUUAAAAAGAAUACCGGUGGCGAAGGCGACUUACUGGGCUAAUACUGACGCAGAGGAACGAAAGAGUGGGUAGCAAACAGG
rnacentral:rRNA from 1 species